UUCUUUGCGACAAUAGUGCCGACGCAGGCGGUCAGGGCAACGAAAGCGGCAGCGAUUGUUGCGAUUUCCUGCAACGCCAGUUUCCGGAACAAAGCGUAGGUGCCCAGCGACGCCAGCGCGAAGAAGCUCCAGGGCACGAUGAUCGCCCGGAUGAGGGCUGCACAGCCAAGGAAAAGACCGAGCAGGAGCGNUCGCCACGAAGGGUUCUCGGCCCAGCAGAACGCUGCCCAGAAUGACACAGCGACAAAAAAG
rnacentral:misc_RNA from 1 species